CGCUUGCUUUUUUUGUGCGCGCUCUCUCUCUUUCUCUAUCUUGUAAAGGAAAGAAAAAAUGGAGCAAACCCGAAGGCCGUUACGUCGUGGGUGGUGAAAUGACGGCAGGGAAAACAAAAUCCCCACCCGUCUCUCUCUCUCUCUCUCUCUCUGCGCUUCUCAGUUUUCCUCUUUCUAAUCUAGGUCUUCCUGGGUGCUGAAAGUUUAGGUCGCAGUGGAUCUGCAUUUUUUAUGGAAUUGUGAUGUGGGUUUUGGGGUUCGAGAUUUUCGUUCUUCGUGAUGCUCUGAAUGAGGAUGGUGGUCCGAGAAGUGGGCUCUAGCGGUAUCUGCUCGUGUCCUUUGAUUAGGGUUUUUUUUAGGUGCAAUUGCUCUCUCUUGAUGGGAUCGAGGACGAUUAAGGUCAUGGUUGUUUUCAAUUGUGCUAGUCAGACGGAUGAAGAUUUCUUUGACAAGCCUGUGGAUGACGAGCUCCUGCAGCUGAGUUACACGAGUGUAAUGAUUCUGAUGGGAUCAACGAUGGGCCCCCUGCUGACACUUCUCUAGCGAACCUUUUUUUGAGUGAAUCGGAGAACCAUUCAGAAGUUCAGGUGGACGUCGCUGUUGCCGGAAAGUUUCUGCAUGCUCAUGCAGGCAGGAAGCUUGUCCUCUCUGCUGCACGGUAAUUUUGUUCGUUCAGUCUGAUCCUGUUAACUUGGCAACUCAUUAUCUUUUUCUUUUCUUUUUCCGUUUUUUUUUCUCUUUCACUGUCUAUGUGGUCAUUCGUUGGUUGAAGCACUUCUGGAGUCAUGGAUGGAUGCAUUUAAAUUUCUUGGUCUGUAAUGUGGUGAGGAAUUAAUGGAUCUGACAAGAGGUGUGUUUCUGCAUCUUGGGAGGAAGAGUGCAGAAGGGAUGUGGAGAAAUGGAAUAAUGGUCAGGCUACUAUGUAUGAGGCCAAUUUUUGAUGUCUAACUUACCGUGUAGGAGGCCUGUCUUUGCAACUAAUAUUUUGAUUCUGGAAUUAUAUGCUUAUUAUUAAAUCAAAAUUCUGAAAUUAUGAUUCUAUCCUAAGGGGUAGAAUUAUAAUUCCGGGUUUUGUUUAUGUUUGAGAAGUAACUCAUGCAUUUUAUUU